rnacentral:rRNA from 1 species
GAUCCUGGCUCAGGAUGAACGCUAGCUACAGGCUUAACACAUGCAAGUCGAGGGGAAACGACAUCGAAAGCUUGCUUUUGAUGGGCGUCGACCGGCGCACGGGUGAGUAACGCGUAUCCAACCUGCCCAUCACUUGGGAAUAACCUCGCGAAAGUAAGACUAAUGCCCAAUGACAUCCCACGAAGGCAUCCGAAUGGGAUUAAAGAUUUAUCGGUGAUGGAUGGGGAUGCGUCUGAUUAG